rnacentral:rRNA from 1 species
UGUAGUCGGGGUGAGAGCGUUGAGGCGGUUCCCUUAGGCAAAUCCGGGGGAGCAACGUUGAGACGAAGGACCAGAUCAAUUAGAUCGAGGCUGCUGAUAUCACGCUUCCAGGAAAAUCUUCUAAGCUUCAGCUUACGCAGACCGUACCGUAAACCGACACAGGUGGGUAGGAUGAGAAUUCUAAGGCGCUUGAGAGAACUCGGGUGAAGGAACUAGGCAAAAUGGCACCGUAACUUCGGGAGAAGGUGCGCCUUCACUGGUUAAUAGCUGGAGAAGGCCUCAGAAACCAGGCCGCUGCGACUGUUUAUCGAAAACACAGCACUCUGCAAACACGAAAGUGGACGUAUAGGGUGUGACGCCUGCCCGGUGCUGGAAGGUUAAUUGAUGGGGUCAGCCGCAAGGCGAAGCUCUUGAUCGAAGCCCCAGUAAACGGCGGCCGUAACGAUAACGGUCCUAAGGUAGCGAAAUUCCUUGUCGGGUAAGUUCCGACCUGCGCGAAUGGCGUAACGACAGCGGCGCUGUCUCCACCCGAGACUCAGUGAAAUUGAAAUCGCUGUGAAGAUGCAGCGUUCCCGCGGCAAGACGGAAAGACCCCGUGAACCUUUACUAUAGCUUUACAUUGAACGUUGAGUUCGUCUGUGUAGGAUAGGUGGGAGGCUAUGAAGUGUCGGCGCUAGCUGGCAUGGAGCCAACCUUGAAAUACCACCCUGAUGUGCUUGACGUUCUAACCUAGGUCCGUAAUCCGGAUCGGGGACCAUGUAUGGUGGGUAGUUUGACUGGGGCGGUCUCCUCCCAAAGAGUAACGGAGGAGCACGAAGGUACGCUCAGCGCGGUCGGACAUCGCGCACUGUGUGCAAAGGCAUAAGCGUGCUUGACUGCAAGAUCGACGGAUCAAGCAGGUACGAAAGUAGGUCUUAGUGAUCCGGUGGUUCUGUAUGGAAGGGCCAUCGCUCAACGGAUAAAAGGUACUCCGGGGAUAACAGGCUGAUACCGCCCAAGAGUUCAUAUCGACGGCGGUGUUUGGCACCUCGAUGUCGGCUCAUCACAUCCUGGGGCUGUAGUCGGUCCCAAGGGUAUGGCUGUUCGCCAUUUAAAGUGGUACGCGAGCUGGGUUCAGAACGUCGUGAGACAGUUCGGUCCCUAUCUGUCGUGGGCGUUGGAUAUUUGAGAGGGGCUGCUCCUAGUACGAGAGGACCGGAGUGGACGAACCUCUGGUGUUCCGGUUGUCACGCCAGUGGCAUUGCCGGGUAGCUAUGUUCGGAAGCGAUAACCGCUGAAAGCAUCUAAGCGGGAAGCGCGCCUCAAGAUGAGAUAUCCCGAGACUUAAGUCUCCUAAAGGAACCAGGAAGACUACCUGGUUGAUAGGUCAGGUGUGUAAGUGCAGUAAUGUAUUGAGCUAACUGAUACUAAUGAUCCGUGAGGCUUGAUCGA